GGUUGUGUGGCCGAGCGGUCUAAGGCGCCUGAUUCAAGUGUAUGCUUACAGCUGUUCACAGCUGAACACUCAGGUAUCGUAAGAUGCAGGAGUUCGAAUCUCCUCGCAACCA
rfam:Ashbya gossypii ATCC 10895 chromosome VI, complete sequence.